CCUACGGGAGGCAGCAGUAGGGAAUAUUGCUCAAUGGGGGAAACCCUGAAGCAGCAACGCCGCGUGGAGGAUGAAGGUUUUCGGAUUGUAAACCUCUUUUGUCGGAGAACAAAACCCGGGACGUGUCCCGGACUGCGUGUAUCCGAAGAAAAAGCAUCGGCUAACUCCGUUCCAGCAGCCGCGGUAAUACGGAGGAUGCGAGCGUUAUCCGGAUUUAUUGGGUUUAAAGGGUGCGUAGGCGGUCCGUUAAGUCAGCGGUAAAAUUGCGGGGCUCAACCCCGUCGAGCCGUUGAAACUGGCAGACUUGAGUUGGCGAGAGGUACGCGGAAUGCGCGGUGUAGCGGUGAAAUGCAUAGAUAUCGCGCAGAACUCCGAUUGCGAAGGCAGCGUACCGGCGCCAGACUGACGCUGAGGCACGAAAGCGUGGGGAUCGAACAGGAUUAGAUACCCUUGUAGUC
rnacentral:rRNA from 1 species